rnacentral:rRNA from 1 species
GACGAACGCUGGCGGCGUGCCUAAUACAUGCAAGUCGAACGAGAGCGCCCGGUGCUUGCACUGGUCAAUCUAGUGGCGAACGGGUGGGUAACACGUGGGUAACCUGCCCAUCAGAGGGGGAUAACAUUCGGAAACGGAUGCUAAAACCGCAUAGGUCUUCGAACCGCAUGGUUUGAAGAGGAAAAGAGGCGCAAGCUUCUGCUGAUGGAUGGACCCGCGGUGCAUUAGCUAGUUGGUGAGGUAACGGCUCACCAAGGCCGUGAUGCAUAGCCGACCUGAGAGGGUGAUCGGCCACAUUGGGACUGAGACACGGCCCAAACUCCUACGGGAGGCAGCAGUAGGGAAUCUUCCGCAAUGGACGCAAGUCUGACGGAGCAACGCCGCGUGAGUGAAGAAGGUUUUCGGAUCGUAAAACUCUGUUGUUAGAGAAGAAUAAGUGCUAGAGUAACUGUUAGCGCCUUGACGGUAGCUAACCAGAAAGCCACGGCUAACUACGUG